rnacentral:rRNA from 1 species
GACGAACGCUGGCGGCGUGCUUAACACAUGCAAGUCGAACGGUGAAACACGACCUUUCUCUUCUGGACCAGUGGCGAACGGGUGAGUAACACGUGAGUAACCUGCCCCAGACUCUGGAAUAACCGCUGGAAACGGCGUCUAAUACCGGAUACGAGACACAGCUGCAUGGCUACUGUCUGAAAAUUUUUUCGGUCUGGGAUGGACUCGCGGCCUAUCAGCUUGUUGGUGAGGUAGUGGCUCACCAAGGCAUCGACGGGUAGCCGGCCUGAGAGGGCGACCGGCCACACUGGGACUGAGAUACGGCCCAGACUCCUACGGGAGGCAGCAGUGGGGAAUAUUGCACAAUGGGCGAAAGCCUGAUGCAGCGACGCCGCGUGAGGGAUGACGGCCUUCGGGUUGUAAACCGCUUUCGGCAGGGAAGAAGCGAGAGUGACGGUACCUGCAGAAGAAGCACCGGCUAACUACGUG